rnacentral:rRNA from 1 species
AGCGAACGCUGGCGGCAGGCUUAACACAUGCAAGUCGAGCGGGCACUUUCGGGUGUCAGCGGCGGACGGGUGAGUAACGCGUGGGAACGUGCCCUCUGGUUCGGAAUAACUCAGGGAAACUUGAGCUAAUACCGGAUACGCCCUUUUGGGGAAAGGCUUGCUGCCGGAGGAUCGGCCCGCGUCUGAUUAGCUAGAUGGUGAGGUAACGGCUCACCAAGGCGACGAUCAGUAGCUGGUCUGAGAGGAUGAUCAGCCACACUGGGACUGAGACACGGCCCAGACUCCUACGGGAGGCAGCAGUGGGGAAUAUUGGACAAUGGGCGCAAGCCUGAUCCAGCCAUGCCGCGUGAGUGAUGAAGGCCUUAGGGUUGUAAAGCUCUUUUAUCCGGGACGAUAAUGACGGUACCGGAGGAAUAAGCCCCGGCUAACUUCGUG